CUGCCAUUCGAUCCCUCUACCGGAUCAUAUGUUUACUUCUUCCCUCAAGGAUAUGCGCAUAGUGUCGGUAAAUCCUUGAACUCUGAAUUAAUAGAUUGCUCAAAACAGAUCGUUGGUCAGGGCGCCUAUCUUUGUCAGAUUUUUUCAAUCAGCUUUCUUGCUGAUGAUGAAUACGAGGAAGUUUGUGCGAAGAUAAAGUUGAUAACCGUCAAAGACAACGCCGUGAUUCUUGAUCAAUUUGGAGCUUUUGAAAGGGAAAAUAGAGAGGUUUUUUUUAAUGAAAACUCUCACUGA